CAUCCUCCAAGGCUAAAUACUCCUGACUGACCGAUAGUGAACCAGUACCGUGAGGGAAAGGCGAAAAGAACCCCGGCGAGGGGAGUGAAACAGAACCUGAAACCGUGUACGUACAAGCAGUGGGAGCAUGAGUUUACUCAUGUGACUGCGUACCUUUUGUAUAAUGGGUCAGCGACUUAUAUUCUGUAGCAAGGUUAACCGUAUAGGGGAGCCGGAGGGAAACCGAGUCUUAAUUGGGCGUUAAGUUGCAGGGUAUAGACCCGAAACCCGGUGAUCUAGCCAUGGGCAGGUUGAAGGUUGGGUAACACUAACUGGAGGACCGAACCGACUAAUGUUGAAAAAUUAGCGGAUGACCUGUGGCUGGGGGUGAAAGGCCAAUCAAACCGGGAGAUAGCUGGUUCUCCCCGAAAGCUAUUUAGGUAGCGCCUCGUGAAUUCAUCUCCGGGGGUAGAGCACUGUUUCGGCCAGGGGGCCAUCCCGGCUUACCAACCCGAUGCAAACUGCGAAUACCGGAGAAUGUUAUCACGGGAGACACACGGCGGGUGCUAACGUCCGUCGUGAAGAGGGAAACAACCCAGACCGCCAGCUAAGGUCCCAAAGUCAUGGUUAAGUGGGAAACGAUGUGGGAAGGCCCAGACAGCCAGGAUGUUGGCUUAGAAGCAGCCAUCAUUUAAAGAAAGCGUAAUAGCUCACUGGUCGAGUCGGCCUGCGCGGAAGAUGUAACGGGGCUAAACCAUGCACCGAAGCUGCGGCAGCGA
rnacentral:rRNA from 1 species